rnacentral:tRNA from 1 species
UCCCUGGUGGCUCAGACAGUAAAGAAUCUGCCUACAAUGCAGGAGACCCAGGUUCAGUUCCUGGGUUGGGAA